AGAUGGUUUGAGUGCCUUCAAGAGCUCGGCACACGUGCUGCGUGGGUGUCUUCUCCUCUUGUGUCGAGAUAUUGGGUUAAAUCCCCCAACGAGCGCAACCCUUGUCCUUAUUUGCGAUCACGUAAAGGUGGGAACUCUAAGGAGACCGCACGUGACAAACCAGAGGAAGGAGGGGAUGACGUCAAGUCAUCAUGGCCCUUACGGGCAGGGCUACACACACACUACAAUGAACAGGACAGAGGGCUGCAAGCCGGCGACGGUAAUCCAAUACCACAAACCCUAUCUCAGACCGGAUUGUAGUCUGCAACUCCACUCCAUGAAAUCCGAAUCUCUACUAAUCUCAGAUCACCAUUGCUGCGGUGAAUACGUUCCCGGGUCUUGUAGACACCG
rnacentral:rRNA from 1 species